GUCAGGAUAGAGUGAAUAGUGGAAAAAUUUUUUUACGUACUUUACAUUAGAAACUCAAGUCAAGUAAAUUUUACAUAUGACAGAUAUUAUAGUUUGAUGAGUUAUCUAUAACGUUCAUUUAGUUGGGACUAUUGAUAGAAGGACUUUAUCAUAUUAUAACUAUACCUAGAGGUUUAUUCUAUUCCAUUCUGCUGGCCUACCAUCAUAUACUGCUAGG
rnacentral:lncRNA from 1 species